GGAAGCUUGGCAGAGCGGUUGAAUGCACCAGUCUUGAAAACUGGCGAGGUGUUAAAGCCUUCGUGAGUUCGAAUCUCACAGCUUCCGCCA
rnacentral:tRNA from 7 species